rnacentral:rRNA from 1 species
ACAGCAUGACACACUGCAUAUCAAUAAGCGGAGGAAAAGAAACUAACAAGGAUUCCCCUAGUAACGGCGAGUGAAGCGGGAAGAGCUCAAAUUUGAAAUCUUAAAGGGUUUUCCUUUACGAAUUGUAGUUUAAAGAAGUGUUUUCUGUUGGAGUUUCGGUAAAAGUUCUUUGGAAUAGGACAUCAUAGAGGGUGAGAAUCCCGUAUUUGACCGUUACUUUCCAGCUGUGUGAUACACUUUCAAAGAGUCGGAUUGUUUGGGAAUGCAGUCCAAAUGGGUGGUAAAUUUCAUCUAAAGCUAAAUAUUGGCGAGAGACCGAUAGCGAACAAGUACCGUGAGGGAAAGAUGAAAAGAACUUUGAAAAGAGAGUUAAACAGUACGUGAAAUUGUCAAAAGGGAAGCGUUUGACACCAGUGUUGUUUUUCCGAAAAUCAAUUAUAAAUGCUUGAUUUGCAGGUUGUCAUGACCUUAUAAGCUUGUUCAUUAUUGGUUUCAUGGUCUUUCGUAUGCACUUUUCGGUUAACAAGUCAACAUCAAUUUCCUUUGUUGUAAAAGGUUAAGAGGAAGGUGGCUUUCAAUUUCGGUAGAAGUGUUUAUAGCCUUGUACCUCUGCAAUCGGAGAGAUUGAGGUCUGCAGCGUAGAUCCUUCGGGGUUAGAUACAUUUAUGCUAAGUUAUAGCUUUUCAUAGACAACUUGUUGACUAUGUUUAGUCAUUGUAGCUUACUCGCUUAUGCUAUUUUACCUACGCUUAGGAUGUUGAGCGCAUGUCUCUCUCU